AUUAUCAACUUUCACAGUUACGUUGUACGGUAUUUGCAUCGCUUUAAGGAAUGGUCUUAAUAAUGGUUAAUAUAAAUCACACAUGAUAACACGAGAUAAGACAGACCGUACAAUGUAUGUUGUUGUUUGAACAUGUAGUUAUGCUAUUAAUAGGAAAAGUAAAUAACACUUAAACGUCUAUUCGUAGCAUUCACGAUAACAAGCGGGGAAAUCCAUGUAAACGGAAACUUGGAAUUGAUCAGUGUUAACAUAGGUGCAUCUAAACAAUUUAUGUGAAGAAAACAUUUUAAAUUAGUGAAGCCUUUCUCAAAUAAGGGAUCUGGAGGUCCAGAAACCGUUCCAAAAAUAGCCACACACGGACCACGACCACCAGCUGGGCAUCCUGGAAGUGGUCCAAUUAAGUCCCCUCCACGACCACCACCACCACCUCCGCCUAAGGGACCAUGUUUGACAAAAUAACUUGUUUUUACGAAAAUGAUGUUAAUCGAUUUCCACGGUAUUUGGGAAAAUGGAAAACGUCGAAUAUUUACGUUUUAAUAAACAUUUAAAUUAAAUCGUAGGAUGAAUGUUACUUUUUCACUCUCAAUAUAUAUUUUUGAUUGUCUAAAGCGUAUUAAAUAA